UACGCAGGGGGCAAGCGUUGUCCGGAUUUAUUGGGCGUAAAGAGCGUGUAGGCGGUUCGGUAGGUCCGUUGUGAAAACUCGAGGCUCAACCUCGAGACGCCGAUGGAAACCAUCGAACUAGAGUCCGGAAGAGGAGAGUGGAAUUCCUGGUGUAGCGGUGAAAUGCGCAGAUAUCAGGAAGAACACCCGUGGCUAAGGCGGCUCUCUAGUACGGUACUGACGCUGAGACGCGAAAGCGUGGGGAGCGAACAGG
rnacentral:rRNA from 1 species